UCCUCCACACGCUCCGGCACCGCAGUCCCAGCAGCAUCUCAUGCCUCCACCUGACCUCCGUCUGCGCGUCCGUCCGUCGGUGUAGCGAAGCGGGACAAGAUGCUGGAGAACGGCAGGAAGGUGUUCAAGGAGGGUCUCCUGGAGAAGCGGAGCGACGGGCUGCUGCAGCUCUGGAAGAAGAAGCACUGCGUCCUGACCGAGGACGGCGUGCUGCUGCUGCCGCCCAAGCAGCACGACCACCCGCAGCACCACCAGCCGCACCACGGCGGCGGGGACACGGGCAAAGUCAAAGAGCUGCACUUCGCCAACAUGAAGACGGUGGACUGCGUGGAGCGCAAGGGCAAGUACGUCUACUUCACCGUGGUCAUGACGGAGGGCAAGGAGAUCGACUUCAGGUGCCCGCAGGACGAAGGCUGGAACGCGGAGAUCACCCUGCAGAUGGUCCAGUACAAGAACCGCCAGGCGAUCCUGGCCGUCAAGUCCACCCGGCAGAAGCAGCAGCUGCUCGUCGUGCAGAUGCCCGGACAGAAGACGGUCCGAAGCACGCCGAACGUGGCGUGACCUGCUGCGAGUCCCGCGGACACUGGUGCGCCAUUUGCGGUAAGACGCAUUAGGAGAAAGAGAGGAGGGGGAUCCCCAGGUCCGGGGACCAUCUGGGGGUCUCCUUGACAAAUUCAGGAUGCGUUUUUUCCCAUUUGGUUUUAUUCUCUGGAUAUUUAUACCAUGGGUGAGGACAUCUGGUGCGAGCAUAGGUUUACAGUCCUCCCGCACAGAUCCAACCCUGAAGGAACAAAAUACACAAACUGUGGAUUCUAUUUUUUGCGUAAAGAAAAGUUUGCGAGUCCCUGCUGUAGACCAACUCACAUACAUGGAGGUGAAACCCCCCCAAAGAAAAAGAUGGUGGAGCAGGUUAAUUGGACGCUGAGCCGGAGGAUGAAUAUCGACCUGGGCUGCAUCUCCCCCCUGCUCUGCCCUCCAGGAGAACCUCUCUUCCAUGUAGUGGUUUCCAAAGAGCAGAGCCCCCAUCCCCCUUUUCGACUCAGAGACUUCUUUCACAAAAGACUGAUGGACAAAAAGCAUGUGAGAAAACAACUGUAUUCUACCGUGCAAUGGGUUUAUCCCUUUAUUUAUUAGUUGUGUAUAUAUAUUUUCUAUAAAAUGUUAUGUUGUUGAUGAAUGUUCAGUGUGGUUGUUGCUGGAGUGGAACAGGAAAUACUCGCUCUGAAGUCACUCAGAAGUCCACUGGGAAUACGCUUUCAUACGUAGUUAGGGUGGUCGUUGGAUGUUAUCACUUUAUGGUUGGUAAAAAUGUGUCAUUGUCCAUGUUUUAAUUUUUUAACUGAACCAAAGAAUCAUUUCAUUACAUUACAUCUCUCUUGUGCAGUUGUACACCUCAGAAUAUACGAAACUAAAAUGCUAUGGGUUCUGUAUAUGAUGAGAUACCUGCUCUACCAGUACAUCAUUUGUGUUAAGUGCUUCGUUUAAUAAUUGCCACAGUGCAUCUUAGUAUUUUCAUUGUGUACUUCAGCUAUUUUACAUUUUCUUUGGCUGCAUUCACAGAUACAAAACCUGUGUCUUGUUUUCUUGUGAGUCUUAAAUCAGAGCGCGAUACGAGCUCAUCACAGAGAAGAGUUCAGCAGAAGUCAGUGACACGCUCAGUGGAGCUUUUGUUGUAUCCACAGUUUUCAGGAAGUGAGCUGCUUUAAAGACAUUGUCACUGGUUGCAUUAAGACGUCGAGGAAACCAAAACAUUUCAAGGUUGACAAAUGAGGAGCUUGAAAUGUUUUAAUUGGUGUUAAUUUAGACGUUAUCAUAGUUUAGUUUGAUGAUAGUAGAUUAGUGCCAACUAUCUUCCUAUGGGACAUUAUGUUUUCUGUUAAAUGUACAGAUACAUUUUGUUGUUGCACUUCUCUUUGUGGCAGUGCCUAUAGCGGAGCUUUAUUCCAUUGUCACCUGGUUGCGGCCCAUCUGUGCCACAAAGUUUUCUCACUGAGGACACAUGCUAAACUCUCUUUUUGGCCUUAAAGGGCAUUUUCCAACCUGGGUCCUAUUGCUUUGUUCCAUCACACCUCAGAUCCCGGAAUUACUGAUCCCAGAGUCAGAGGUUGCAACUUGAACGCCCCCUCAGGUCGGAAAAUCUCACCACCCAUGACUUCAAAAUCCAAGAUAGCCACUCUGUGUAUCAACAAUCAUGAAAGCUGCAGUUUUUACUGUUUAGUAGCACUUCUGUCACUAAAUGUGUUGUACACAUAGGACAGACCAAUUACUGUCUGUGGAUGUGUCACUACUGUGUCAGUAUGCGUAAAAUGCCACAUACUACUUUUGCUAAAAAUGUCUAAGUGGCGAACAUUGUUCCUGGGCAACUGAACGCUAUCAACUUGGGUUAUAGGGGUGACGUCAUUCCGAGAGCAGAGCUCGGAGGUGUAAUGGAACGCAGCAUUUGUUCAUUUGUGGGUGUGUAAAUAAAUUUGCGAAAACCUUUGCAAUUGGCUACGACUAGACGGCAAUGGCUGGAAUGAGGCUACAAUGUAAUCUUAUGGGGCAACUCCGACAGUUAGGCCGAAAGGGCUAAAAGUAUUUUCACUGUGUCUAGUCUGCCCACACUUUAGAUAAAAAAGUAUCUAGCUGAUAAUAGUCAAAAGGUUCAUGACAGCUAAAAUCAUUGUGAGGAAUUACGUUCUCUAAUUGAUAUAAUAAAUGUUGGACUGGAGAGUUUUGAAUGCAAAAUUAUUUUUAGCAAGAUGCCGAGUUGUUGAUCCUCUAAUUUCAUAAGUACAAUGGAUUUUUGACUUGAAUUGGUACUUGGCAAUCAAAGCAAUUCAUUUUUAGCUAAAACAGACCCUUUGGCUCAGUCCACUGACUUUUAUUGCAACCAGUCAGAUGAUAAGUGUCUGCAGCAGCUGUGCCGCUGAGAAACAGUCAUAAAACCAUCUCAUCUAAUCCGUUAUAGAUUUUAAAGUAUGAAAUGAUUUUCAUGAGACGAAAUAAUGUGAUUGUUGUGAAACGUGUAAAAGUGGUGAUACACGGGGCAACGUUCAGAGAGACAGGUCACGUGUCUCGCUGUCAGGAACCGUUUUAUUUCACUGUGGCUCAUGUUGCUUCCUGUCUGCUGGAGGUGUUCCCCACUGCUUUCUCCUCUACCCGGUGUAUCACCGCCACCAAACCAACACAUGCCUCUGUGCUGCUGUCAUCUCACACACUGGGCGAUAGCUGUGCCCUGUGUCUAAUGCAACUGAUGAGAUGCAUCUCUCCGACAUACCUUCCUGUUGCCAUCAUUACACACCGUUAUAGCUGCGCCCUUUGUAGCCACCGUCCAGUUUUUUAUUUCGACGUGAGAUCUAUUUUCAUACCUUGAAAAGAUACAGUACAUUCCAUUAAAAAAAAGAAA